rnacentral:rRNA from 1 species
UUAGAGUUUGAUCCUGGCUCAGGAUGAACGCUAGCUACAGGCUUAACACAUGCAAGUCGAGGGGCAGCGGGUUGAAAGCUUGCUUUCAAUGCCGGCGACCGGCGCACGGGUGCGUAACGCGUAUCAAACCUGCCUCAUACUCGGGGAUAGCCUUGCGAAAGUAAGAUUAAUACCCGAUGUUGUUGCUUUCUCGCAUGGGAGAGUAACCAAAGAUUUAUCGGUAUGAGAUGGUGAUGCGUCCGAUUAGGUAGUAGGCGGGGUAACGGCCCACCUAGCCUUCGAUCGGUAGGGGUUCUGAGAGGAAGGUCCCCCACACUGGAACUGAGACACGGUCCAGACUCCUACGGGAGGCAGCAGUGAGGAAUAUUGGUCAAUGGGCGAGAGCCUGAACCAGCCAAGUAGCGUGCAGGAUGACGGCCCUCCGGGUUGUAAACUGCUUUUAGUUGGGAAUAAAAAAAGGGACUUGUCCCUUCUUGUAUGUACCUUCAGAAAAAGGACCGGCUAAUUCCGUGCCAGCAGCCGCGGUAAUACGGAAGGUCCAGGCGUUAUCCGGAUUUAUUGGGUUUAAAGGGAGCGUAGGCGGAUUGUUAAGUCAGCGGUUAAAGGGUGUGGCUCAACCAUGCAUUGCCGUUGAAACUGGAGAUCUUGAGUGCAGACAGGGAUGCCGGAAUUCGUGGUGUAGCGGUGAAAUGCUUAGAUAUCACGAAGAACUCCGAUCGCGAAGGCAGGUGUCCGGGCUGCAACUGACGCUGAGGCUCGAAAGUGUGGGUAUCAAACAGGAUUAGAUACCCUGGUAGUCCACACAGUA